UACCAGACUCCUACGGGAGGCAGCAGUGGGGAAUUUUGGACAAUGGGCGCAAGCCUGAUCCAGCUAUUCCGCGUGUGGGAUGACGGCCCUCGGGUUGUAAACCACUUUAGUAGAGAACGAAAAGGAGCUAUCGAAUAAAUAGCUCUGCUGACGGUACUCUAAGAAUAAGCACCGGCUAACUACGUGCCAGCAGCCGCGGUAAUACGUAGGGUGCGAGCGUUAUCCGGAUUUAUUGGGUUUAAAGGGUGCGUAGGCGGGCUGUUAAGUCGGGGGGCAAAUGUCGGGGCUCAACCCCGGCCUGCCGUUGAAACUGGCGGCCUCGAGUGGGCGAGAAGUAUGCGGAAUGCGUGGUGUAGCGGUGAAAUGCAUAGAUAUCGCGCAGAACUCCGAUUGCGAAGGCAGCAUGCCGGCUCCACACUGACGCUGAGGCACGAAAGCGUGGGUAUCGAACAGGAUUAGAUACCCGAGUAU
rnacentral:rRNA from 1 species